UGUGAAGUGGAUACAUCUAGGAGCAACAAUGGCUCAGCCGCGAAGUGGUAGGCCACACAAGCUCACAGAACAGGACCACACUGAGUGCUGAAGUGUGUAGUGUGUUGCAACCGUCUGUCCUCAGUUGCAACACUCACUACCGAGUUCCAAACUGCCUCUGGUUCCAGUGAAGGGAACUACAGCAUACAAUGACAUUCUAGACAAUUCUGUGCUUCCAACUUUGUGACAACAGUUUGUUUCAGCAUGACAAUGCCCCCGUGCACAAAGUCCAUACAGAAAUGGUUUGUCGAGAUUGAUGUGGAAGAACUUGACUGGCUUGCACAGAGCCCUGACCUCAACCCCAUCGAACACCUUUGGGAUGAAUUGGAACGCCGACUGCAAGCCAGGCCCAAUAGCCCAACAUCAGUGCCCGACCUCACUAAUGCCCUUGUGGCUGAGUGGAAGCAUGUCCCGCAUAAAUGUUCCAACAUCUAGUGGAAAGCCUUCCAAGGAGAGUGGAGGCUGUUAUAGCAGAAAAGGGGGGAACAACUCCAUAUUAAGGCCCAGAAUUUUGGAAUGAGAUGUUUGGCAAGCAGAUGUCCACUGGAGGAUAAAUAGCACGAAGAAAUGGCUACGUACACAGCACAAAGAGAUGGCUACGUACACAGCACAAAGAGAUGGCUACAUACACAGCACAAAGAGAUGGCUACAUACACAGCACAAAGAGAUGGCUAAAUACACAGCACAAAGAGAUGGCUACGUACACAGCACAAAGAGAUGGCUACAUACACAGCACAAAGAGAUGGCUACAUACACAGCACAAAGAGAUGGCUACAUACACAGCACAAAGAGAUGGCUACGUACACAGCACAAAGAGAUGGCUAAAUACACCGCACAAAGAGAUGGCUACGUACACAGCACAAAGAGAUGGCUACAUACACUAAAUUCAGACAAAAUUAGAUGGUUGUUUCUUUAUGUACCACUGGCUUUUUGAAAUUCACACUUUCCCACAUAGUGCUUAAUGGCACUUUUGAUCAAAUGUGUUCUCUCUCUCACUCACUCCAUCUCGCUCCCCUCUCUCUCUUUCUUGCCCCGCUCUCUAACUCUCUCUUUCUCUCCCUCUCUCCCUCUCACUCUCUUUAUCACUCUCUCUCCCCCCUCUCUCUCUUCCUCCCCCUGCUCUCUGACUCUUUCUCUCCUUCUGUCCCUCUUGCUCUCUCUAUCACUCUCUCUCUUUCUCUUUCACUGGAUCAAGAUUCAUGAUUUACUGAGGCAUGCAAUGGGCAUACAAGGCUCUGAGAUUAGUGAUGGUAUCAUGUUCUGUAUAGCUUCAAGGGGGAAAUCACAUACAGAUUCAGCGCAAGAAGGAUUCUCAAAGAGACCAUUUCAAUUUAGGGAGUGAGAUGAAGGCCGUUCACUGAACAACAAUGAGUCUAAGCAAACACCAGCUUUUGGUGAGGUAGAAUUAAACAAUUUGCAGUGGUGGAUGCUUUUUUUAUUCUGCUGAAAUGUGUGAGGAUUACAUGCUAUUUGACUGAACAUUACAUGUAUCAAAUGUCUCAUGUUGGAGGUACUCAAUCAG
rnacentral:lncRNA from 1 species